rnacentral:misc_RNA from 1 species
UUUCCGUAGGUGAACCUGCGGAAGGAUCAUUACAACAAGGUUCCCUGGCCCUCGAAGCUUCGGCGGAGGGGUGCUCCAGCCUGACUUUAUACCCACCCUUUGCCUAUGUGUACCCCUAUUGCUUCCCUCGGCGGGUUCGCCCGCCGACAGGAACCAACUAAACCCUUUGCAUUAUACAUUUAACACUUCCGAUACAAAACUAAAUUAUUACAACUUUUAACAAUGGAUCUCUUGGUUCUG